rnacentral:sRNA from 1 species
ACCAGGUGUGGUGAUGCAUGCCUGUAAUCCCAGCAACUCAGGAGACUGAAGCAGGGGAAUCGCAAGUUCAAGACCAGGCCUGGGCAACAUAGAGAGACCCUGUCUCAA